UACAGAGGGGGCAAGCGUUGUUCGGAAUUACUGGGCGUAAAGGGCGCGUAGGCGGCCUGCUAAGUCGAACGUGAAAUCCCCGGGCUCAACCCGGGAACUGCGUCCGAUACUGGCAGGCUUGAAUCCGGGAGAGGGAUGCGGAAUUCCAGGUGUAGCGGUGAAAUGCGUAGAUAUCUGGAGGAACACCAAUGGCGAAGGCAGCUCGCUGGGACGGUACUGACGCUGAGGCGCGAAAGCGUGGGGAGCAAACAGG
rnacentral:rRNA from 1 species